rnacentral:rRNA from 1 species
GCAGGUGGUUGGGUAAGUCGGGUGUGAAAGCCUCAGACUUAAUCUGGGGAGGUCAUUCGAUACUGCUCAACUUGAGAGCGGGAGAGGGAAGCGGAAUUCUGGGUGUAGUGGUGAAAUGCGUAGAUAUCCAGAGGAACACCAGUGGCGAAAGCGGCUUCCUGGCCCGUUUCUGACACUCAGGUGCGAAAGCGUGGGGAGCGAACGGAAUUAGAAACUCCGGUAGUCCACGCUGUAAACGGUGGGUACUGGGUGUGGGGAGUACUGACCCUCUCUGUGCCGAAGCUAACGCGUUAAGUACCCCGCCUGGGGACUACGGCCGCAAGGCUAAAACUCAAAGGAAUUGACGGGUCUCCGCACAAGCAGCGGAGCGUGUGGUUCAAUUCGAUGAUACACGAAGAACCUUACCUGGGCUUGACAUGCUGGUAGUAGUGAAGCGAAAACAGAACGAUCCUUCGGGAAGCCAGCACAGGUGCUGCAUGGCUGUCGUCAGCUCGUGCCGUGAGGUGUUGGGUUAAGUCCUGUAACGAGCGCAACCCCUCCUGCCAGUUACAAGUGUCUGGCGGAACUGCCGGUGACAAACCGGAGGAAGGUGGGGAUGAAGUCAAGUCAGCAUGGCCUUUAUGCCCAGGGCUACACACACGCUACAAUGGCCGGUACAAUGGGUCGCCAAGCCGUGAGGCGGAGCUAAUCCUGAAAGCCGGUCUCAGUUCGGAUUGCAGGCUGCAACCCGCCUGCAUGAAGUUGGA